rnacentral:lncRNA from 10 species
AGAUCUGCAUUGUAAGAAAAAUGAGAAGAAUUCCUUCAGGAAGAAGAAAAAUGAUACCAGAUGGAUAUGUGGAUCCACAUAAAGGAACGAAGAGCACAGGAAAUAGUAACUAUACUGUCUUGCUCUGUCACCCAGGCUGGAGUGUGGUGGUGCGAUCUUGGCUCACUGCUAGACUGGUUGGAUCCAGAGGACUCGGCAAUGAAGCAUGGACCCCUGUUGAAAGGAAAAAUUUCAAUUGCACAAGAAGAAAAUAUGCUGAAAUAGACUACAGAAUAUUUAGAUCUUGGCCACUGAGUGAAAAUAUGCUGGAAUAGACUACAGAAUGUUUAGACCCACCACUCUCCUACCGUAAAAUACAACCCGGUUCUGGUUGGAUUGGCCUUCACCUGCCUAACCUAUUUUCCUUGGUCUUUUCACACUCUGUGAUUUAAUAUUUAUU